AGCCUCGUGGUGAAGAAACAUGUUGGAUUGCAAAUCCAGAGACGUAGAUUAAUAAUCUGCCGGGGCUU
rnacentral:tRNA from 2 species